GCCAGCCAUGGUGGCACCCACCUGUAGUCUCAUCUACUUGAGAGACUGAGGUUGGAGGAUUGCUUGAGCCCAGUUCUGGGCUGUAAUGCCUAUGUAUGCCCAUCAGUGUUAACACUGGAACUAGGGCCUACCUAAGGUUGCCUAAGGAGAAAUGAACGCACCCAGAUGGGAAACAGCAAGUAAAAAGUCUCAUGCUGAUUUGUAGUGGGAUCGUGCCUGUGAAUAGCCACUGCACUCCAGCCUGAGCAACAUAGGGAGACCCAUCUCU
rnacentral:SRP_RNA from 1 species